GGCGCGAGCGUUNUCCGGAAUUAUUGGGCGUAAAGAGCUUGUAGGCGGUUGGUCGCNUCUGCUGUGAAAGGCUGGGGCUUAACCCUGGUUUUGCAGUGGGUACGGGCUAACUAGAGUGCAGUAGGGGAGACUGGAAUUCCUGGUGUAGCGGCGGAAUGCGCAGAUAUCAGGAGGAACACCGAUGGCGAAGGCAGGUCUCUGGGCUGUAACUGACGCUGAGAAGCGAAAGCAUGGGGAGCGAACAGGAUUAGAUACCCUGGUAGUCCAUGCCGUAAACGUUGGGCACUAGGUGUGGGGGACAUUCCACGUUUUCCGCGCCGUAGCUAACGCAUUAAGUGCCCCGCCUGGGGAGUACGGCCGCAAGGCUAAAACUCAAAGAAAUUGACGGGGGCCCGCACAGGCGGCGGAGCAUGCGGAUUAAUUCGAUGCAACGCGAAGAACCUUACCAAGGCUUGACAUAUACUGGACUGCGUCAGAGAUGGCGUUUCCCUUCGGGGCUGGUAUACAGGUGGUGCAUGGUUGUCGUCAGCUCGUGUCGUGAGAUGUUGGGUUAAGUCCCGCAACGAGCGCAACCCUCGUUCUAUGUUGCCAGCACGUGAUGGUGGGGACUCAUAGGAGACUGCCGGGGUUAACUCGGAGGAAGGUGGGGAUGACGUCAAAUCAUCAUGCCCCUUAUGUCUUGGGCUUCACGCAUGCUACAAUGGCCGGUACAGAGGGUUGCGAUACUGUGAGGUGGAGCUAAUCCCUAAAAGCCGGUCUCAGUUCGGAUUGGGGUCUGCAACUCGACCCCAUGAAGUCGGAGUCGCUAGUAAUCGCAGAUCAGCAACGCUGCGGUGAAUACGUUCCCGGGCCUUGUACACACCGCCCGUCAAGUCACGAAAGUUGGUAACACCCGAAGCCGGUGGCCUAACCCUG
rnacentral:rRNA from 1 species